rnacentral:misc_RNA from 1 species
UCUCCGUAGGUGAACCUGCGGAGGGAUCAUUACAGAGUUCAUGCCCUACCGGGUAGAUCUCCCACCCUAUGUUAUUAUUACUUUGGUGCUUUGGCGGGCCGUUAGGCUCCGGCCCGACUACCGGCCCCGGCUGGUAAGCGCCCGCCAGAGGACCCAAAACCCUGAAUAUUAGUGUCGUCUGAGUACUAUAUAAUAGUUAAAACUUUCAACAACGGAUCUCUUGGUUCUG